AACAAGUUACUGAAUAAUAAAUAUUAUAUAAGGAAAACAAAGUACAAAGACACAAGAAUAAAAAUAAACAUCAAACAAAUGCCAUCCCCGACAAUGGUGCCAAAAACUUGAUCAGAUGUAAACGUCACAACAAUAAUGUCCAAGCAUACACUGUCGAUGCAAGUAUAAUAGAUAGAUGUGAGUUUGACGGAUAUCAAUCCCACA
rnacentral:lncRNA from 1 species